rnacentral:piRNA from 1 species
UGUGUGGAAACCUCAGCGAUUGUGGCA